UACGUAGGUGGCAAGCGUUGUCCGGAAUUACUGGGUGUAAAGGGAGCGCAGGCGGGAAGCCAAGUCAGCUGUGAAAACUACGGGCUUAACUUGUAGACUGCAGUUGAAACUGGUUUUCUUGAGUGAAGUAGAGGUUGGCGGAAUGCGUGGUGUAGCGGUGAAAUGCAUAGAUAUCACGCAGAACUCCGAUUGCGAAGGCAGCAUACCGGCGCCCAACUGACGCUGAAGCACGAAAGCGUGGGUAUCGAACAGG
rnacentral:rRNA from 1 species